rnacentral:rRNA from 1 species
GGUGGUGCUGACGCGGCUUGGGGAAAUACCUGUUCCCAUUCCGAACACAGAAGUUAAGUCCAAACCGGUCGAUGAUACUUGCACUGUUAGUGCUGGGAAAGUAGAUUAGUGCCACCA